rnacentral:rRNA from 2 species
UGGCGUGCUUUAACACAUGCAAGUCGAGCGGACAGAUGGGAGCUUGCUCCCUGAAGUCAGCGGCGGACGGGUGAGUAACACGUGGGCAACCUGCCUGUAAGACUGGGAUAACUCCGGGAAACCGGGGCUAAUACCGGAUAAUUCUUUCCCUCACAUGAGGGAAAGCUGAAAGAUGGUUUCGGCUAUCACUUACAGAUGGGCCCGCGGCGCAUUAGCUAGUUGGUGAGGUAACGGCUCACCAAGGCAACGAUGCGUAGCCGACCUGAGAGGGUGAUCGGCCACACUGGGACUGAGACACGGCCCAGACUCCUACGGGAGGCAGCAGUAGGGAAUCUUCCGCAAUGGACGAAAGUCUGACGGAGCAACGCCGCGUGAGUGAUGAAGGUUUUCGGAUCGUAAAACUCUGUUGUUAGGGAAGAACAAGUACCGGAGUAACGCCGUACCUGACGAACCAUAUAG